rnacentral:rRNA from 1 species
GAUGAACGCUGACAGAAUGCUUAACACAUGCAAGUCAACUUGAAUUUGGGUUUUUAACUUAAGUUUGGGUGGCGGACGGGUGAGUAACGCGUAAAGAACUUGCCUCACAGCUAGGGACAACAUUUGGAAACGAAUGCUAAUACCUAAUAUUAUGAUAAUAGGGCAUCCUAUAAUUAUGAAAGCUAUAAGCGCUGUGAGAGAGCUUUGCGUCCCAUUAGCUAGUUGGAGAGGUAACGGCUCACCAAGGCGAUGAUGGGUAGCCGGCCUGAGAGGGUGAUCGGCCACAAGGGGACUGAGACACGGCCCUUACUCCUACGGGAGGCAGCAGUGGGGAAUAUUGGACAAUGGACCAAGAGUCUGAUCCAGCAAUUCUGUGUGCACGAUGAAGUUUUUCGGAAUGUAAAGUGCUUUCAGUUGGGAAGAAAGAAAUGACGGUACCAACAGAAGAAGUGACGGCUAAAUACGUGCCAGCAGCCGCGGUAAUACGUAUGUCACGAGCGUUAUCCGGAUUUAUUGGGCGUAAAGCGCGUCUAGGUGGUUAUGUAAGUCUGAUGUGAAAAUGCAGGGCUCAACUCUGUAUUGCGUUGGAAACUGUAUAACUAGAGUACUGGAGAGGUAAGCGGAACUACAAGUGUAGAGGUGAAAUUCGUAGAUAUUUGUAGGAAUGCCGAUGGGGAAGCCAGUUUACUGUACAGAUACUGACGCUGAAGCGCGAAAGCGUGGGUAGCAUACAUG